rnacentral:rRNA from 3 species
UUAAAUUGAAGAGUUUGAUCAUGGCUCAGAUUGAACGCUGGCGGCAGGCCUAACACAUGCAAGUCGAACGGUAACAGGAAGCAGCUUGCUGCUUUGCUGACGAGUGGCGGACGGGUGAGUAAUGUCUGGGAAACUGCCUGA